CUAACCGUGCAAAGGUAGCAUAAUCACUUGUUCUUUAAAUAAGGACUUGUAUCAACGGCAUCACGAGGGUUUAACUGUCUCCUUUUUCAUAUCAGUGAAACUAAUUUCCCCGUGAAGAAGCGGGGAUAAUACUAUAAGACGAGAAGACCCCAUGGAGCUUUAAACCCAACUACACUCCUUUUAACUUUACUCUUAAACUCUAGGACCCUGUAUGUUCUGGUUUUAGGUUGGGGUGACCACGGAGCAUAAACUAGCCUCCACAAUGAAUAGACCUCCUCUUUAUCCAAGACCAACACCUCUAAGAAUUAGCAUUCUAACAUAAAAUGAUCCGAUAUUCGAUCAACGAACCAAGUUACCCUGGGGAUAACAGCGCAAUCCACUUCAAGAGCCCCUAUCGACAAGUGGGUUUACGACCUCGAUGUUGGAUCAGGGUAUCCUAGUGGUGCAGCAGCUACUAAAGGUUCGUUUGUUCAACGAUUAAAACCCUACGUGAUCU
rnacentral:rRNA from 1 species